GCCCCUGUGGUGAAACGGAUAUCACGACGGUCUUCGGAACCGUUAGUGUAGGUUCGAGUCCUACCAGGGGCA
rnacentral:tRNA from 1 species